rnacentral:rRNA from 1 species
UACGUAGGGGGCAAGCGUUGUCCGGAUUUAUUGGGCGUAAAGAGCGUGUAGGCGGCCGUACAGGUCAGCUGUGAAAACUCGAGGCUCAACCUCGAGACGUCGGUUGAAACCGUACGGCUAGAGUCCGGAAGAGGAGAGUGGAAUUCCCGGUGUAGCGGUGAAAUGCGCAGAUAUCGGGAAGAACCCCCGUGGCGAAGGCGGCUCUCUGGGACGGUACUGACGCUGAGACGCGAAAGCGUGGGGAGCGAACAGG